rnacentral:sRNA from 1 species
GCUACCAUGGUCUCCGGCAGCAGCGGCCUCGCCGCCGCCCGUCUCCUGUCGCGCAGCUUCCUCCGCGGUUUGUGGACACAUCAGUUCCCGAAAACUUAGCACCCAAGGUUGCUAGUCUUUGAGACACGCUGACUAUAGAAAAUUCUUGCCAUAUUCAAAGUCUCUGUGCUUGUCAGUGCCGCAGAAUGGAAUUCGGCAUUGUUCCUAUACAGCUUCUCGGAAACAUCUCUAUGUUGAUAAAAUACAAAGAUUAUUUGCCAGGGUUUCACUGGCAAACAGGGCACCUUUCACAGCCAGCAGGCAUUGGAAUAUGGCACCAAACUCGUUGGAGGAACCACUCCAGGGAAAGGAGGCCAGACACAUCUGGGCUUACCUGUCUUUAAUACUGUGAAGGAGGCCAAAGAACAGACAGGAGCAACGGCUUCUGUCAUUUAUGUUCCUCCGCCUUUUGCUGCUGCUGCCAUUAAUGAAGCUAUUGAGGCAGAAAUUCCCUUGGUUGUGUGUAUCACUGAAGGAAUUCCCCAGCAGGACAUGGUACGAGUCAAGCACAAACUGCUGCGCCAGGGAAAGACAAGGCUAAUUGGGCCCAACUGCCCUGGAGUCAUCAAUCCUGGAGAAUGUAAAAUUGGCAUCAUGCCUGGCCAUAUUCACAAA